GCCUAAUUAGUUUAUUUAAAACCUCAAUUUGUGAUAUUGAAAAAAGUGAUUACACUAUUAAGCC
rnacentral:tRNA from 1 species